AUUUGAACCGUUAAAGGAGACGUGACACAAUUUUUUUUUUUUUUUUUUUUUUUUUUUUUAAUUAAUUAAUAAAUAUUGGUCAAAUAACAUAUUGUAAUAAUUUUUUCUUGUCAAAACCUCAUUUAACGGCCUUUUAAUGGUCAAAGAAUCCAGCGCUUGUCGUAAUCUUUGAUUUUUAAUGAGAUACCGGUCACGUGAUCGUGAUGACGUCAGUGGAUACAAUCUGAGAAAAUGUCUCAAAAAGGACGAAGUCGAUCAUAUUCCUGUAAAAUUAAACAAUGGACGGUGUUGACAGCAGUUUUCAAGGCAAUUCUCAAACUUUAGAUAUUCAACCGUAUCAGUUUGAGCCGUUACUUGUUGAAAAUAAUCAAGUAGAAGAUAUAAAUUCGUCAUCCGACAUUGACGAUCUUUCAAGCAAUGCCGAUAUAUCGGCAUUGCUUGAAAGAUCAAUAAUUAAUUUCACCAAAAAUAAAGAGAUAUUUCUUAGAAAUGUUUACG
rnacentral:lncRNA from 1 species